GUGCCAGCAGCCGCGGUAAUACGAAGGGGGCUAGCGUUGCUCGGAAUCACUGGGCGUAAAGGGCGCGUAGGCGGACUCUUAAGUCGGGGGUGAAAGCCCAGGGCUCAACCCUGGAAUUGCCUUCGAUACUGAGAGUCUUGAGUUCGGAAGAGGUUGGUGGAACUGCGAGUGUAGAGGUGAAAUUCGUAGAUAUUCGCAAGAACACCAGUGGCGAAGGCGGCCAACUGGUCCGAUACUGACGCUGAGGCGCGAAAGCGUGGGGAGCAAACAGGAUUAGAUACCCUGGUAGUCC
rnacentral:rRNA from 1 species